UACGGAGGGAGCUAGCGUUGUUCGGAAUUACUGGGCGUAAAGCGCACGUAGGCGGCUUUGUAAGUUAGGGGUGAAAGCCUGGAGCUCAACUUCAGAAUUGCCCUUAAGACUGCAUCGCUUGAAUCCAGGAGAGGUGAGUGGAAUUCCGAGUGUAGAGGUGAAAUUCGUAGAUAUUCGGAAGAACACCAGUGGCGAAGGCGGCUCACUGGACUGGUAUUGACGCUGAGGUGCGAAAGCGUGGGGGAGCAAACAGG
rnacentral:rRNA from 1 species